GACGAACGCUGGCGGCGUGCUUAACACAUGCAAGUCGAACGAUGACGACCGAGCUUGCUCGGUCUGAUUAGUGGCGAACGGGUGAGUAACACGUGAGCAACCUGCCCUUCACUCUGGGAUAACCUCGGGAAAUCGGGGCUAAUACCGGAUAUGAGCUCCUGUCGCAUGGCGGGUGUUGGAAAGUUUUUCGGUGAAGGAUGGGCUCGCGGCCUAUCAGUUUGUUGGUGAGGUAGUGGCUCACCAAGGCGAUGACGGGUAGCCGGCCUGAGAGGGCGACCGGCCACACUGGGACUGAGACACGGCCCAGACUCCUACGGGAGGCAGCAGUGGGGAAUAUUACACAAUGGGCGAAAGCCUGAUGCAGCGACGCCGCGUGAGGGAUGACGGCCUUCGGGUUGUAAACCUCUUUCGGCAGGGAAGAAGCGAAAGUGACGGUACCUGCAGAAGAAGCGCCGGCUAACUACGUG
rnacentral:rRNA from 1 species